UUUCCUAACACAUCAACCUAUUUUCAACAACAUUGAAAUCACAAUUACAUUACACANACAUAUAAAAACNACCAUUCCCGUUAACAACUUCAACAAAUUUUCCAGUCUAACACCCAUUGCUUUCUGUUUUCCCACAAGUCUCUCUUCCAUCUUCAUCAUCAUUUGUUCCAUCAUCAUAGAAUUUCCACCCACUUCGUUCUUUCUUCCACUUCCUUCUAAAGUGACCACAUUUCCUUCAUUUCCAUCAUGAAUCACAGCCUCAUUGCACCACUUAAAAAAGUUGCAUCCAGAACCACAAUCCUCACUCCCACCUUGUCCAAGAAGAAAACAAAUUUGGUGAACCACAAUACAACCUCUGGAACGACAAAAAAAUCACAAUA
rnacentral:lncRNA from 1 species